AAAUGAAUAUACAAUAAAUGAAACUGAAAAAGUAGAAGGCCCACAAGAAAAAAAUACAGUAAAAGAAGCACUUAAGGAAAUGAAAAAUGGUAUAGCAGCAUGACCUUCAGGGCUAACAGUAGGCUUAAUAAAAGCAGCAGGAAAGGAAGGAGUGGUGGAGUUGAGAAGUAUUAAACGAUGUAUUAAAAAAGGGAGAGAUACCAGAAGACUGGGAAGGAAACUGCACUAUACCCAUUUUUAAAGGGAAAGGAGAUGCUUUGAUAUGUGGUAACAAUAGGGGGGAUAAGGCUACUGGAGCAUGGCAUGAAGGUGUAUGAAAAAGUCCUGGAGAGAAGGCUGAGAAUAAUAAGAAUUGAUAAAUGUCAGAUUAACUUUUGCCCUGGGAGAUCAACAACUGAAGCAAUAUAUACUAUGAGAGGGCUUCAGGAAAGGUUUAUGGAGGAGACUAUCAUGUUUUUGUAGAUUUAGAGAAGGCAUUUGACAAAGUACCAAGGGAAAUUAUCAGAUGGGCAUCGAGAAGGCAAAGAGUACCAGAAAGAUUAGUUGAAUCGGUGGUGGGACUAUAUGAAGGUAGAAAAUCGAGAAUGAAAACAGUGGUGGGAACAUUAGAUGAGUUCAAAAUUGGAGUGGGGGUUCACCAGGGAUCUGCCCCUAGCCUGCCCUUGUUUAUAACAGUAAUGGAGGCAACACAGGAAGCAAGAGGAGAGGCACCAUGGGAGCUGCUGUAUGCAGAUGACUUGGUAGUAAAUUCAGAGACAGCAGAAAAAGUGAAAGAAAAGUUUAAUAAAUGGAGGAGAGAGGUUUGAAAAUUAAUAUAGAAAAAUCAAACUACAUGGUGACUGGAAAAGAAGCAAGAGAAAAGAUUAAAUCAGGAAAAUAUCCAUGUGGAUGCUGUGGGAAGGGAGUAGGUGUAAAUUCAGUCUUGUGUACAUGUUGCAGGCAAUGGUGCCACCUUAGAUGCUCAGGCCUCAGAAAUGUAAGAGGAAUGCAGAAUUUUACAUCCCCAGCUUGCCUAAGGAGACAGCAAGGACAAGAAACUGAGAAGGAUGAACUAGAGGUUUCCCCAAGUACCCAUUUAUUGCCUUGACCAGAAGGGAGGACGAACAGUUUGGACUGUGCACUGACUGCCCAUACCUGGAUUUGAACCCAGGUCCAUGAAUUUGUAGCUAGCGUAUUAAGUACUGCACUAAGGAGGCAUCCUGGGAAUACAUACUAUAUACAGGUAACUCUCGAUUUACGCAAGUUUGGUUUAUGCGUUUUUUAAAUAAUGCGGGGUCUAACAUCCAAAUAAAUGUCUAAUUUACA